GACGAACGCUGGCGGCGUGCUUAACACAUGCAAGUCGAACGGAAAGGCCCUGCUUUUUUGGGGUGCUCGAGUGGCGAACGGGUGAGUAACACGUGAGUAACCUGCCCUUGACUUUGGGAUAACUUCAGGAAACUGGGGCUAAUACCGGAUAGGAGCUCCUUCUGCAUGGUGGGGGUUGGAAAGUUUCGGAGGUUGGGGAUGGACUCGCGGCUUAUCAGCUUGUUGGUGGGGUAGUGGCUUACCAAGGCUUUGACGGGUAGCCGGCCUGAGAGGGUGACCGGCCACAUUGGGACUGAGAUACGGGCCAGAGUCGUACGGGAGGCAGCAGUGGGGAAUAUUGCACGAUGGGCGGAAGCCUGAUGAAGCAACGCCGCGUGCGGGAUGACGGCCUUCGGGUUGUAAACCGCUUUCGCCUGUGACGAAGCGUGAGUGACGGUAAUGGGUAAAGAAGCACCGGCUAACUACGUG
rnacentral:rRNA from 1 species